GAUGAACGCUGGCGGCGUGCCUAAUACAUGCAAGUCGAACGCUGGAGAUCUAGCUUGCUAGAUCGAAGGAGUGGCGAACGGGUGAGUAAUACAUAAGCAACCUACCCACGAAGACUGGGAUAAUCUCUGGAAACGGGGACUAAUACCGGAUAGGUAAUCGGAAGGCAUCUUCUGGUUAUUAAAGGUUAAAAACACUGGUGGAUGGGCUUAUGGCGCAUUAGUUAGUUGGUGAGGUAACGGCCCACCAAGACGAUGAUUCGUAGCCGGCCUGGGAGGGUGAACGGCCACAUGGGGACUGAGACACGGCCCAGACUACUACGGGAGGCAGCAGUAGGGAAUUGUCGGCAAUGGGGGCAACCCUGACCGAGCAACGCCGAGUGAGUGAAGACGGCCUUCGGGUUGUAAAGCUCUGUUGUAAGGGAAGAACGGUAGAUAGAGAAUAUCUAAGUGACGGUACCUUACCAGAAAGCCACGGCUAACUACGUG
rnacentral:rRNA from 1 species